UGAACUGAAACUCUAGUUCGCGACUUCAGAAUGAGCAAAGGAAUUGGAGAGGAAUUCAAGACCUCUCCGUAUAGACGCUACAAGAACGACCUUGAGGCUGGUACCAGUAGCCGAGAGAUUGAUGAGGAGGAAGACGAAGGUUCAGGACCAUUCGAUAUUGUUCGAACUAAAAAUGCUCCGUUGGAUCGAUUGCGGAGAUGGAGACAAGCUGCACUUGUGCUGAAUCCUGCUCGUCGAUUUCGAUAUACGUUGGACUUGAAAAAAGAAGAAGAGAGGAAGCAAAUGAUUGCUAAGAUUCGAAUGAAUGCUCAAGUCAUUAGGGCUGCUGUUCUUUUCCAAGCUGCUUGCGAAGGAGUGAAUGAGCCUGGAGUCUCGAAAAAACUGCCUUCAAAUCAAGGUCAUGUUGACGAUUUUGAUGUUAGCUUAGAUGAGCUAGUUUCAAUGUCCCGAGAGCACAAUCUUUCUUUGCUGGAGCAACAUGGAGGGGUCAAAGGAGUUGCUGAUAAAGUAAAAUCAAAUUUGGAAAAAGGUGUAUCUGGAGACGAGACUGAUCUCAUAAACAGAAAACAAGCUUUUGGAUCAAACACGUAUCCUCGAAAAAAAGGUUGUAGUUUCUGGUGGUUUCUCUGGGAGGCUUGUCAAGACACAUCUCUGAUUAUCUUGAUGGCUACUGCAGCUGCUUCUUUGGCACUGGGCAUAAAGUCUAAGGGUAUAAAAGAAGGUUGGGAAGGUGGGGGAAGCAUUGCCUUGGCUGUACUUAAAGUUAUUGUUGUUACAGCUGUAAUUGAUUACCUAAAAUCCCGCAAAUUCCAAAAUUUAAAUGAGGAGAAGCAAAAUAUACACAUGGAGGUCGUUAGGGGUGGGAGGAGAAUUAAGAUUUCUAUUUUUGAUAUAGUUGUUGGUGAUAUUGUGCCUCUCAAAAUUGGUGAUCAGGUCCCUGCUGAUGGAGUCCUAAACGCUGGUCAUUCCCUUGCCAUUGAUAUGUCGAGUAUGACUGGGGAAAGCAAAAUUGUUCACAAGAAUUCAAGGGCUCCAUUUCUUAUGUCUGGAUGCAAGGUUGCUGAUGGUUAUGGUACCAUGCUGGUAACAAGCGUUGGGAUGAAUACAGAAUGGGGAUUGCUGAUGGCCAGCAUAUCAGAGGAUAAUGGUGAAGAAACACCAUUGCAGGUACGAUUAAAUGGGGUUGCAACAUUUAUUGGUAUUGUUGGGCUUGUCGUGGCUGAAGUGGUUCUGGUUUUCCUUUUGAUCAGAUAUUUUACUGGGAAAACCUGCGAUCCAGAUGGUCGAACCCAGUUCCGAGCAGGGUACACUAGCGUUAGGGAUGCUAUGGAUGGCUUUAUAAAGAUAUUCACUGUUGCAGUGACCAUUGUAGUUGUUGCAGUACCUGAAGGGCUUCCAUUGGCUGUCACUGUGACGCUUGCCUAUUCAAUGGAAAAAAUGAUGGCGGACAAGGUCUUGGUCAGGAGGCUAUCAGCCUGUGAAACCAUGGGCUCUGCAACAACUAUUUGCAGCGAUAAAACUGGGACCCUAACUUUGAAUCAGAUGACUGUGGUUGAUGUGUUUGCUUGUGGGAAGAAGAUUGAACCCGCUGACAAUAAGUCACUACUUCCUCCUAAUGUUAUGUCUCUGCUUCUUGAAGGCAUUUCACAGAAUACAAGUGGCAGCAUAUGUGUCCCUGAGGGUAGUAAUGUUCUGGAGAUUUCGGGAUCACCAACAGAAAAGGCCAUUCUUCAGUGGGGUGUUAAUCUUGGGAUGGAUUUCGAUGCUGUUCGAUCAAAGUCACUAAUAAUCCAUGCUUUUCCGUUCAACUCAGAGAAAAAGAGAGGUGGUGUCGCUCUAAAACUGUCGGAUUCUGAGUUUCAUGUACACUGGAAAGGGGCUGCAGAAAUAGUCCUUGCAUCUUGUACCUAUUACAUGGAUUCAAAUGGCUCCAUGGCGCAGAUGGAAGAAGAUAAGGUAUCAUAUUUCAAGAAAGCAAUUGAAGAUAUGGCUGCGGGGAGUCUACGCUGUGUUGCUAUUGCCUACAGGUCAUAUGAGAAGGAAAUGGUCCCUUCUAAUGAGGUGGAAAUGGAGAAUUGGCAAUUACCAGAAGAAGACCUUAUUUUACUUGCCAUUGUCGGUAUCAAGGACCCUUGUCGACCAGGUGUCAGAAAUGCGGUUCAGUUGUGCAUUGAUGCUGGUGUUAAGGUACGUAUGGUUACUGGAGACAAUCUUCAAACGGCGAAAGCAAUAGCUGUAGAGUGUGGGAUAUUAGGAUCAAAUGGAGAUGCUACUGAGCCAAAUCUUAUUGAAGGCAAGGCAUUCCGUGCCAUGUCUGAGACGCAGAGGCUGGAAGUGGCCGAUAGAAUUUCGGUGAUGGGUAGGUCAUCUCCAGAUGACAAACUCUUGCUUGUACAAGCAUUGAGGAAGAAGGGUCAUGUUGUUGCUGUUACUGGAGAUGGUGUUAACGAUGCUCCUGCACUACAUGAGGCUGAUAUUGGUCUUGCAAUGGGUAUCCAAGGAACAGAAGUUGCCAAAGAGAGCUCAGACAUCAUUAUAUUGGAUGAUAAUUUUGCUACAGUUGCGAAGGUGGUGCGGUGGGGUAGAUCUGUUUAUGCCAAUAUUCAGAAAUUUAUACCAUAUAAGCUCACUGUUAAUGUUGUAGCUCUUACAAUCAAUGUUGUGGCUGCAGUUUCUGCUGGUAAUGUCCCAUUAAAUGCAGUGCAGCUUCUCUGGGUAAAUCUUAUAAUGGAUACACUAGGGGCCCUAGCACUGGCAACUGAACCUCCUACUGAUCAUCUGAUGCAUAGGCCUCCUGUGGGUAGAAGGGAACCUCUCAUUACUAAUGUCAUGUGGAGGAACUUGAUAAUUCAGUUGAGUUAUUGCAGGCUCUAUAUCAAGUGACUGUUCUCCUAAUCCUGAAUUUCCAGGGAAGAAGCAUUCUGAAUUUAGAGCAUGAAUCAGAUGAUCGAGCUUUCAAAGUGAAGAAUACAGUGAUAUUCAAUGCAUUUUUCCUUUGUCAGUAAUGAUCAUUUGAUUUUGUUAUACUUCACCGGCAAGUGAAGGGUUGACGAUUCUCUGUCUCACAACAUGUCUGUUAUGCUGAUAUUAUCAACAAAAUAUCGAAGAACAUGAAUCUGUGGGAUGUCUGUGAUGGGAUCGAAUAUACAAAAUUUGUGAUGACUCCUCUCUGUUCUGUUUUGAAGUUUAAAUAUUAAUCUAGUUGAAAUCAUUUUGCUGAAGCUGCUCUGAACUUUUAUCUUUAAAGUUUGUAAGGCAGUGAUUUUGAGAAUUGAUUUUUUGAUCUUUAGAAAAAAAAGUGAGUCCUACCUGUGAGAUAAGAAGUCAGAAAUGACGGUUAGAACAGUGAAAUAACGUUAAAAAAAUUAAUUUUGUUUUGGUGAAAAAUCAAUACCAAACAUGCACUUAAUUUGCCAAUUUUUUAACUGCUGUUUUCCAUGCACUUCAACUAAUUUCUUUUGUUCAUAAGUACAGAUAUUCAAUGAGUUGAAUGCUAGAAAACCUGAUGAGAUCAAUGUGUGGAAAGGGGUUACUAAAAACCUUCUUUUCAUGGGAACAGUUGGACUUACAGUAGUUCUCCAGGUUAUCAUUAUAUUUUUUUAUGGGAAGUUUACUUCAACUGUUAGACUCAGUUGGGACUUGUGGCUUGUUUCCAUUGUCAUCGGUAUAAUCAGCUGGCCUCUAGCCAUUGUUGGGAAGCUAAUUCCUGUUCCAGAGAGACCUUUAUUUGAUUUUUUACGAAGAAAAUAUGUAAAGUAAGGGAAUCAGGAGGUUAAAUACAAAGGAAGUGGACAGAGACAGCUUCUGGGCUCAUCUUUUUCCGUAGGUGGGGUGCAGAUCGGUGUAGCUCAAAUCUAACUUUGAGGUUUUUAAGUAUUUAGUCUUCCAUCAAACUAACUUGGACAUUUCAGUGGUGAAAAUACAAAGUUGCUUUUGUUCAUACAGUGAAGUUGUAAUGUGUUCUUUAUCAACUAUUGGGGUGUUUGAUUGGCA